rnacentral:piRNA from 1 species
UCGAACUCAGAAAUCUGCCUGCCACU